UACGUAGGGGGCAAGCGUUGUCCGGAAUUAUUGGGCGUAAAGCGCGUGUAGGCGGCUUUGCAAGUCGGGUGUGAAAGCCCUCAGCUCAACUGAGGAAGUGCGCCCGAAACUGCAGAGCUUGAGUGCCGGAGAGGGUGGCGGAAUUCCCCAAGUAGAGGUGAAAUUCGUAGAUAUGGGGAGGAACACCGGUGGCGAAGGCGGCCACCUGGACGGCAACUGACGCUGAGACGCGAAAGCGUGGGUAGCAAACAGG
rnacentral:rRNA from 1 species